rfam:Equus caballus chromosome 4, whole genome shotgun sequence.
UGCUUGCUCUUCCUGUGACGGUGAAGGUGUCCCUGGAGAGGCAGCCGAGUCUAGAGCUGCUUUUAGGGAGCUGCGGGUGGCGCGGGCCUCCUUCCUCAGGGAAGCUGAGGACGCUAUCACAGUGAGGCAGACGGGUGAGACAGCAGGAGGAGUCAGGGCUUCCAUGACACAGGCCCAGCUCUGCACUUGUAAGAUUGUGGAAUUUGGUAAAAAAUGUUCCAGAGUUGUUUUGAAUAUCUACUUGGCGUGUUCUCAAUAGCUUGAUUACCUGUGACAACUUUGAUAUAUCUAAUCUCAUGUGAUCAUAUUUUGUG